rnacentral:rRNA from 1 species
UACAGAGGGGGCUAGCGUUGUUCGGAAUUACUGGGCGUAAAGGGCGCGUAGGUGGCCUGCUAAGUCGAACGUGAAAUCCCUCGGCUUAACCGGGGAACUGCGUCUGAUACUGGAUGGCUUGAAUCCGGGAGAGGGAUGCGGAAUUCCAGGUGUAGCGGUGAAAUGCGUAGAUAUCUGGAGGAACACCGGUGGCGAAGGCGGCAUCCUGGACCGGCAUUGACGCUGAGGAGCGAAAGCCAGGGGAGCAAACGGG